UCACCAGCGUGCAGUACAGC
rnacentral:misc_RNA from 1 species